GCCCAGGUGGCGGAAUGGUAGACGCGCUGGCUUCAGGUGCCAGUGACUGAAAGGUCGUGGAGGUUCGAGUCCUCUCCUGGGCACCA
rnacentral:tRNA from 2 species